rnacentral:rRNA from 1 species
UAGGGAAUCUUCGGCAAUGGACGGAAGUCUGACCGAGCAACGCCGCGUGAGUGAAGAAGGUUUUCGGAUCGUAAAGCUCUGUUGUAAGAGAAGAACGAGUGUGAGAGUGGAAAGUUCACACUGUGACGGUAUCUUACCAGAAAGGGACGGCUAACUACGUGCCAGCAGCCGCGGUAAUACGUAGGUCCCGAGCGUUGUCCGGAUUUAUUGGGCGUAAAGCGAGCGCAGGCGGUUAGAUAAGUCUGAAGUUAAAGGCUGUGGCUUAACCAUAGUACGCUUUGGAAACUGUUUAACUUGAGUGCAAGAGGGGGGAGUGGAAUUCCAUGUGUAGCGGUGAAAUGCGUAGAUAUAUGGAGGAACACCGGUGGCGAAAGCGGCUCUCUGGCUUGUAACUGACGCUGAGGCUCGAAAGCGUGGGGAGCAAACAGGAUUAGAUACCCUGGUAGUCCACGCUGUAAACGAUGAGUGCUAGGUGUUAGACCCUUUCCGGGGUUUAGUGCCGUAGCUAACGCAUUAAGCACUCCGCCUGGGGAGUACGACCGCAAGGUUG